UGGGGAAUAUUGCACAAUGGGCGCAAGCCUGAUGCAGCCAUGCCGCGUGUGUGAAGAAGGCCUUCGGGUUGUAAAGCACUUUCAGCGGGGAGGAAGGCGAUAAGGUUAAUAACCUUGUCGAUUGACGUUACCCGCAGAAGAAGCACCGGCUAACUCCGUGCCAGCAGCCGCGGUAAUACGGAGGGUGCAAGCGUUAAUCGGAAUUACUGGGCGUAAAGCGCACGCAGGCGGUCUGUCAAGUCGGAUGUGAAAUCCCCGGGCUCAACCUGGGAACUGCAUUCGAAACUGGCAGGCUAGAGUCUUGUAGAGGGGGGUAGAAUUCCAGGUGUCGCGGUGAAAUGCGUAGAGAUCUGGAGGAAUACCGGUGGCGAAGGCGGCCCCCUGGACAAAGACUGACGCUCAGGUGCGAAAGCGUGGGGAGCAAACAGG
rnacentral:rRNA from 1 species